CGAGUCUAAUGUCAAGAAAGGAAA
rnacentral:miRNA from 1 species